rnacentral:rRNA from 1 species
AUGGGUAACAACUUUAGUCUCUUCAUCCUGGUUCUGUGCAUUCUACAUCUUACCCAUGGCAUACUUGGAGGUAGACCCCAUGCUGGAGAUCAGGAGGAGCUUGGUGUCUCUGGUGGCAACUUAAAGCCAAUCAAUCUGAAGAUGGAUGGUUUGGAUCCACCUCCUGCAAAUGUGUCAACGUUCCCUAAUUAUGGCGUCAGAACUUCCUAUGAUGCAGCAUAUAAAACACAUGUGGCACGGGAUUACUAUGGGAUUGAAGCUACAAUCGACGUAUAUGGUCUCUCUUUGCGUCAAGAUCAACACAGUGGAGCUGCCUUGAUUAUUAAGAAUUCGAAAGCGUUCGAUCGUAACAUGAUUGUUGUUGGAUGGCAUGCAUAUCCAUGGCAGUAUGGUGGUAAUUCAGACGCUCGCUUUUUCACUUACUGGACGAGCGAUAACCAAGGAUGGACGGGCUGCUACGAUUUAACCUGUCCAGGUUAUGUUCCUGAGAAAGGUGCCAUAGUGCCAGGAACUAAACUGAGCCCCGUUUCGAACCCCAAUGGAGCCAAGCAAACCAUCAACCUAAAAGUUUUCAAGGACAAAGCAACGGGAGACUGGCUUGUGCACUGUGGAUUCGGGUCGAAGCCAAAGUUAAUCGGGCGUUUCCCCAAGACCUUGUUCACCACCUUGGCCGACAAGGCAGAUGAGAUACAAGCCCGAGGUUUUGUGCUGACUCAAGCUAGUCCUUUGGCCCCGAUGGGGAGCGGUUUCCGUCCCAACAACGUGAAAGCUGCGUCGUUCAGCAAUAUCCUGUUUCUGGAUCAAGAUGGCAAGAGGUUCGGAGUCCCGCAAGAUUUCACGCCCUACAUGACGAACAACAAGGUGUACUCCGUGUCUCGGAUCAGCCCCAACGGCGGGUUCACCUAUGGCGGGCCGUCUGAAUGA